rnacentral:rRNA from 1 species
UACGUAGGGUGCGAGCGUUGUCCGGAAUUAUUGGGCGUAAAGGGCUCGUAGGCGGUUUGUCACGUCGGGAGUGAAAACUCGGGGCUUAACCCCGAGCCUGCUUCCGAUACGGGCUGACUAGAGGCAUGCAGGGGAGAACGGAAUUCCUGGUGUAGCGGUGAAAUGCGCAGAUAUCAGGAGGAACACCGGUGGCGAAGGCGGUUCUCUGGGCAUGUCCUGACGCUGAGGAGCGAAAGUGUGGGGAGCGAACAGG